GGAGAAUUUGAUCCUGGCUCAGAACGAACGCUGGCGGCAGGCUUAACACAUGCAAGUCGAACGCCCCGCAAGGGGAGUGGCAGACGGGUGAGUAACGCGUGGGAAUCUACCCAUCCCUACGGAAUAACGCAUGGAAACGUGUGCUAAUACCGUAUACGCCCUACGGGGGAAAGAUUUAUCGGGGAUGGAUGAGCCCGCGUUGGAUUAGCUAGUUGGUGGGGUAAAGGCCUACCAAGGCGACGAUCCAUAGCUGGUCUGAGAGGAUGAUCAGCCACAUUGGGACUGAGACACGGCCCAAACUCCUACGGGAGGCAGCAGUGGGGAAUAUUGGACAAUGGGCGCAAGCCUGAUCCAGCCAUGCCGCGUGAGUGAUGAAGGCCUUAGGGUUGUAAAGCUCUUUCACCGGAGAAGAUAAUGACGGUAUCCGGAGAAGAAGCCCCGGCUAACUU
rnacentral:rRNA from 1 species